GGUAGCCACCACCCUUCACAGCAAAGCGGACGGAGAGGGGUCCCUUGAGCGGUGCCUUGCUGUCUUGUGUAAAGGUCUUGGCUGGUGACUCCUUCAUGUCGUCCAAAAAUUCCGCGGCGCCCUUUUCUCUGAUGGCCAGCUCAUGGAUGGGGAGGUUGGCGACAAGGACUAGGUGGGUGUACGUGGGGGUAGUGCCCUUGCCGACCGUCAAGGUCACACUGUUGCCGCACAAUCCAACAGCAAACAAUGCUGCCAGCGCUGCCAUUGCGAGCAGGAAGGAGGACGAGGAUGCCAUUGGUGACCUAAUAACUCAGUAGGAGUAACUUACCCUAUUUCCUGAUGGAUUGAGAGGGUGGGAGGGAGGGAUAUGUGCGGUGAUUGUUGUUGCGGAUUAUUACAUCAGCUGGCUGCUUAUUUAUGGGCUGUGUCGGCAAGAAAAUUAGGCAUGGACAUACGACAUGCCACCAAGAUCUCAGCCCGGCCGGCUUGUUUGUUGACGAAUACUUGUUCAAUUGCCCCAAAUAGAUGUGUGCUCAGUAGUCCAGCUUGUCUUCCUUUCAGGCAAAAGAAGCGCAGGACAUGCAGAUCUGUCAUGAAGCACUGGCCAUCCGACCCGUAUCUUUUUCUCUAGUACUAUUUUCAGUAAAAUACAGAAAAAGUCACACCGUGACCUACUUAAACAAAUAUAGUACUCUUUAUACCUUCAAAUAUAAGAGUUUACAUAUUCAAAAUUUGUUAUCUUUGACCACUAUUAUUAGUCUAAUCUACUGUAAAAAUUCUGGACCAAACAAUGAGGACCAGAUAUGGCCAUGUAACCAGUUAAUCCACAAACCGUUGGAUCUAGUAAAAGCAUAAUAUGGACCAUGGUGAGGCCCCUUCAGUCACUAUGCUUGAUCUCCAUCUACUCAGCUAAACUGCAGGAUCAAGUUGAAGAGGUAUAUGCCAUGAAACCAACCGUCUAGUAGUUGCAUAGGAUAAUAAUUCCAAGAUGUGACUAGAGCUAUCUUUAGUGUGGUCAUGAUAGUUGUUGAACACCCCUAACAUGAAAUGUGCCUUGUAAAAUGAACAUGUACAACGAGUAUCCAAAUAGGGUUAAAUAGUACGUAGUGGUUCCGGCUUCUCUUGUUGUCUGGGUGAUUUGAGGGAUCAUGACGCUAUUGCUCGUAUAUACUAUAUUUGGUGCAGACUACCGGACUAGCGAUCAUUCCUGUCAGCCGAAAACCGUCAGGAAUAUACACAAAACUGUCAGUAUUUAAUUCGACCGACUGGAAUUAUCUCUAGUCUGGUAGUGAGCACCACCAUGAUUGUAGGACUCCAUAAAAUAUGGUUCAAAUAUAUAACAUUUUUAAAAAUAAAUGAUUAUUGUAACAGCUGUACGAAAGCUUCGUCCCAUGAAUGUGAUUUUUCUGCUUGAUGAGUGUAGAAGUGAAAGACUAUCGAUAUACAUAUUAUGGGAAUACCCCUUGAGACUUUAUGUGUAUAUUUGUGCAGUGGCGGACUCAGGCCCUGGGUUGCCCAUGCUGCAUGCUGCCCGUGUCAUUGACCGAAAAAACAAUGGUAAAUCAUCUAAACAAUGAAAUAUUAAGACUCUAAUUUCUAUAGUUGUGGAACUUUCAUGUGUUAUUAGCCAAGAUCCUAGUGUCAUCUUGGAUCCACCCCUGUUCGUGCGAAAGCAGAUUAUUCACUACUGCAUAGAAUGUUUCUAGAGACGCCAAGGAAGCCUCUAUAUAAGUGGCUAGAAAUAAUUAAAUACAACUAUGCAAAUAUGAUUUCCAGUGAAAGCUCUGAAUCUAUACACCCUUAGAAAUACAAUCGCAGAUUUCACACAUCUCAUAAAAGAAAAGCAAGCAUCAUUUUUCGUGAAUUUGAAAAGCCCCGCCAGCCAGUCACAACUCACUAGUAAGAACAGACUUUCGGUUUUAGGCUUCAGUCUCAGCGGUCACUUUUAGACCGGGGACUACAGAAAGUAUUAGUCCAGGUUGGAGCUUCCAAUUGGGACUAAAGUCCCCCCUGCCAACAGAUAGAGCAGAGGGCUUUUUCAGCGUAGACAUUUAGUUCCGAUUUGUAGUUCAAAUCGGGACUAAAUGUCGCCUUCCAAUCCUGGGUGGUCCAACAAAAUGGGACCAAAGUUUUUAUCUCGGUUUGUGGCUCCAACCGAGACUAGUGGUUGAUCCAUCGGUCCAGGUAGGCUCUACCAUCCAGGACGAAACCGUCCCCACUAUAUAUAUCCGCUUCCACUAUCCCCCAACCCGAGACAGUUUCAAUUCUUCAGUCUUUUGCUUGUGUGCAUGUUCACCUGUUGUUCUUGUUUGGGGGAGCAAGUUCUUACUCCAGGCCGCCGGCUUCAUCAUUACCUUGAUUUCAUCAAUUCCUAAAUGCACCCAUGCCUGUUUUAUUAUUGUGGAGCCUCCUUCACAUACGGUCCAUCGGAACCGUAAAUGGUAUCAUCGUCAUCCUCACCAUCAUAUCCUUUGUUCUCGUCUGCUUUGGAAGGAGCAAUCCCUAGCUGUUGAACCCUCCCUGUCAUUGUGGACAUUUGCUUUUCCACACUCUCAGUGUGAUGACUGACGCUUCUGAUCUCAUUGCUUAUUAUGGUUACCUAUUGUAGCAUGAAAUCCUUCAGCUCCCGCAAAUAACAUUUCAAUGCAAGCUCAUUGGCAGGCAUGGUUAGUUACAAAACAAAACUCCCUAUGUACACUGAACUUAUAGUACUGAUCAUAUGGUAGUUCUAAUUGGCAUGAGGAAGCUACUUAUUGCAUUAAAUCAUCUGCAAAAAAACUCUAGUCAAUUUGGAUAUAAUUGUAUAAUGUGAAUGCAAAAUUUUAAAUUGAGAGAAUACUGAAUUUUAAUGUGAACUCAUAUGUCCUAUGCAAACUCGGCUUCUUCACAAACAAGGAUUAAUUACUAGCUAGCUAAAAAUUAGCUCUAUACAUCUGGAACAGCUGGACUAAUUUGUUAGAUAUAUAAGUGAUCAAAGGGAUCAUGACAUACUGCUGUGUAAGUUAUUUUGUCUUUUUAUUUUCCCUUUUUUAUUAACUUUAAUUAUAUUUUCCUCUAUAACCAAUGCAAGAAUUGCCGGUUGGGUUGCUUUCCCAUCUAUAUCUUUAUACACAUAUAUAGCAAAACACCACGAGACGUUUUGUCUCUUCGUAUGGUCUCAUUUGGCUGCACACAAUUAGAUCUGAAUCCACAUAGUUUGGGAGGGAUUGAGGUGGAAGUUAGUUUAAAUUCCACCUCAAUCCCUUUCAAACCAGGUGUAUUUGUGUGCAGCCAAACAAGACCUAAGGUAUUCACAUCAUUCUCCACUAACUGACCUCACUAGAUGUUCUAUCUCAUGUAAGGUAUCCGCAUCAUUCCCAACUAGAUGUCCUAGUAACUAGCAUUCCUUUCAUGCAAGCUUUAUAUCUCUUUUCUUGGAGAUCCUGUACACUGACGCACAGACAUAGGAAGGGACCCCGCCCUCCGUUGGCCUCACCGAACCUCCACCGGUGCUGCGGCAUGCAAGCUAGCCGUGCGAAAGCCGCCCUCCUCGCUGUCCUUGCGGUGGCCACGCCGAUGUGUACAUCGUCAGCUGGAAAGAGGACCUCUUUGUGCACAAGUUAGAGAGUGGCUGCUACUAGCCUACUACAUCGUUGGCACGCUCGUGGAGAAGCUCCACAAGUUGCUUGUCGAGUAGAGUAAUGGAUCUUGGAGAGCAUGGCCUCAUUGCACAUGAAUGCACAUGUUGCUGAGCGGUCGGACUAUAGUGGAUGGCGUACGAUCUUCCGAACCAUAGCCUCAUUGCUCUCCAUGAUGAAAGCGCGUGCCACGAACCGCACGUCACAGUGGCCGAGAACUCGUAUGAAGGAGCUGGACCGUGCGUCCACAAACUCCGCCACGAACUCUGGCUGCGGCGCAGCCUGCACCAGAGCCAAAGUAGGCGAGAAUCUGCAGCUCUCACAACCAGAUUUUUCAAUUUCUAUUAGUAGUGUGGGGUUCUCCUAGUGUUUUAGCAUUCAAAAUUUAGUAUAAACUUUCCCUAGUAAAUACCACCUAGUGAGGAUUCCCUAGUGUUUUGACUAGUGAUAGUGUUUUAUUACUAACUAAAAAUACUAGGAGAACUCCACCAUUUUGUUAGUGUCUGUUACGAACCACACGGCCCCGGCAUGCCCUCCUCAUGCUUGUCAACGUUCAUUACAUCCUCAGCGAUGCCAUGAAUUCCAGCGGCUUAUUAAUUAACACAACGCAUCAUAAUUUGUUGCAAUAUUUACACUUACUUGCAACCACAAUAAUAUUUAUCAUGGCCCUAACAGCUACCUCUCCCAACGGAUCUUACGACUGACAUGUACAACUCAGUAGUUUAGAUGUAUUAAGACCCACGUAUCACAACAACUUAUAGUCCAUGUUACAAAAGAUCCUCCUAUUGCAAUUAAAUUUGUGAUGCUGUGAAAACAAGUGUUUGGAUUAGGGUAAAACUUUUAUAGUGAUUGCAUAAUGUGUGUUAAAUAAAAGAUCACAAGUACAAAUUCAGUUUUCCGGACAUUUUGGACUUGCUAAAGAAGAUAAAAAAGCUUCACUGAUUUUGACACAAACAUGUAAUGAAACUUUAGAAAAAUCAUAUAUACACAGCUGUCUUGACAAUGAUUGACUCGAUAUCUUAUGCCAUAUAAAAAUAAUAUCGUAAAGUGUGUGUAUACAUAGCUCCACAACAAUAUGCAGGAGGAGAAGCUAGUAUACUUUAUUUUGCGGUAGAUUACCACAAAAUAACCACAGUAAAUGAAUUACUGGCCUGCUUAUUUAUAUCCUCAAUCUAUCUUACAGAAUAUAUAAUGGUAAAAAAAUUUCACUCAAUGCGAGACCAGAUGUGUGCCGAUUACUCAAUACGGGAUGUUAGUGUUGAUAACUGCGCCAGGCUUCAAUCCAACAGGGAAAAUCUCAUCCCUGUUGCGGUAGCCACCACCCUUCACAGCAAAGCGGACGGAGAGGGGUCCCUUGAGUGGUGCCUUGCUGUCUUGUGUAAAGGUCUUGGCUGGUGACUCCUUCAUGUCAUCCAAAAAUUCCGCGGCGCCCUUUUCUCUGAUGGCCAGCUCAUGGAUGGGGAGGUUGGCGACAAGGACUAGGUGGGUGUACGUGGGGGUAGUGCCCUUGCCGACCGUCAAGGUCACACUGUUGCCGCACAAUCCAACAGCAAACAAUGCUGCCAGCGCUGCCAUGGCCAGCAGGAAGGAGGACGAGGAUGCCAUUGGUGACCUAAUAACUCAGUAGGAGUAACUUACCAUAUUUCCUGAUGGAUCGAGAGGGUGGGAGGUAGGGAUAUGUGUGGUGAUUGUUGUUGCGGAUUAUUACAUCAGCUGGCUGCGUAUUUAUGGGCUGUGUAGGCAAGAAGACAUGCCACAAAGAUCUCUGCCUGGCCGGCUUGUUUGUUGACGAAUACUUGUUCAAUUGCCACAAAUAGAUGUGUGUUCAGUAGUCCAGCUUGUCUUGCUUUCAGGCAAAAGAAGCGCAGGACAUGCAGAUCUCUCAUAAAGCAUUGGCCAUGCAACCCCCACAUCGUGACACCGUGACCUACUAUUUUGAGUAAAAUACAGAAAAAGUCACACCGUGACCUACUUAAACAAAUUUAAUACUCUUUAUACCUUCAAAUAUAAGAGAUUACAUAUUCAAAAUUUGUUAUGUUUGACCACUAUUAUUAGUCUAAUCUACUGUUAGAAUUCAGGACCAAACAGUGUGGACAUGAGAGUUGUUUAACAUCUCUAACAUGAAAUCCGCCUUGUAAGAUGAACAUGAACAACGUGUAUCCAAAUAGGGUUAAAUAGUACGUAGUGGUGACCGGCUUCUCUUGAUGUCUGGGUGAUUUUGAGGGAUCAUGACGCUAUUACUCGUAUUUACUAUAUUUGGUGCAGCGCCACCACGAUUGUAGGACUCCAUAAAAUAAGGUUCAAAUAUAUAACAUUUUAAAAAUAAAUGAUUAUCGUAACAGCUGUACGAAAGCUUCGUCGUCCCUUGAAUGUGAUUUUUCUGCUCGAUGAGUGUAGAAGUGAAAGACUAUCGAUAUACAUAUUAUGGGAAUACCCCUUCAGACUUUAUGUGUAUAUUUGAGCACAGUGGCGGACUCAGGCCCCGGGUGCCCGUGCUGCAUGCAGCCCGUGUCGUUGACCGAAAAACCACUGGUAAAUCAUCUAAACAAUGAAAUAUUAAGAGUCUAAAUUCUAUAGUUGUGGAAAUUUCAUGUGUUAUUAGCCCGGAUCCUAGUGUGAUCUUGGAUCCACCCCUGUUCGUGCGGAAAGCAGAUUAUUCACUAAAGCGUAGACUGUUUCUAGAGACGGCAAGGAAGGCUCUAUAUAAGUGGCUUGCAAUAAAAUACAACUAUGCAAAUCUGAUUUCCAGCCAAAGCUCAGAAUCUAUACACCCUUAGAAAUACAAUCGCAGAUUUCACAAAUCUCAUGAAAGAAAAGCAAGCAUCAUUUUUCGUAAAUCUGAAAAGUCCCGCCAGCCAAUCACAACUCACUAGUACAGAACAGACUUUCGGUUUUAGGUUUCAGUCCCGGUCACUUUUAGACCCGAGACUAAAGAAAGUAUUAGUCCUGGUUGGAGCUUCCAUCUCAUACUAAAGUCCCCUGCCAACAGAUAGAGCAGCGGGCUUUUUCAGCAUAGACAUUUAGUUCUGAUUUGUGGAUCAAAACGGGACUAAAUGCCGCCUUCCAAUCCUGGGUGGUUCGAAAUAAUGGAACCAAAGGUUUUUAUCUCGGUUUGUGGCUUCAACCGGGACUAGAGGUUGAUCCAUCGGUUCUAGUAGGCUCAUCUAGGACUAAACUGUCCCCACUAUAUAUAGCCGCUUCCACAGUCCCCAACCCGAGACAGUUUCAAUUCUUGAGUCUUUUGCCUGUGUGCAUGUUCACCGGUUGUUCUUGCUUGGGGGAGCAAGUUCUUACUCCAGGCCGCCGGCUUCAGCAUUACCUUGAUUUCAUCGAUUCCUAAAUGCACCCAUGCCUGUUUUAUUAUUGUGGAGCCUCCUUCACAUAUGGUUGGCAUUGGUCUGCCUCUCAUCAACAAAACCAUCAGAACCGUAAAUGGUAUCAUCGUCAUCCUCACCAUCAUAUCCUUUGUUCUCGUCUGCUUUCGAAGGAGCAACCCUCCUAGCUGUUGAACCCUCCCUGUCAUUGUGGACAUUUGCUUUUCCACUCUCAAUUUGGUGGCUGACGCUUCUGAUCUCAUUGCUUAUUACGGUCACCAGUUGUAGAAUGAAAACCUUCAGCUCCUGCAAAUAACAUUUCAAUGCAGGCUCGUUGGUAGGCAUGGUUACUUACAAAACAAAACUCCCUAUGUACACUGAACUUCUAGUAGUGAUCAUAUGGUAGUUCUAAUUGGCAUGAGGAAGCUGCUUAUUGCAUUAAAUCAUCUGCAAAAAAGCUAGUCAAUUUGGAUAUAAUUUUAUAAUGUGAAUGUGAAAUUUUAAAUUGAGAGAACACUGAAUUUUAAUGUGAACUCGUAUGUUCUAUGCAAAUUUAUAUACGUUCAUUUAAUGCAAACCCAUGGGUUUUAUAAUUUGUGGGUGUAAUUAGUUAGUGGAUUGAAAUGGUUUGGGUUAAAACUAUUGAAACGUGGAGUGGGGUAGAGUACAAGGACUAAUUACUAGUUAGCUAAAAAUUAGCUCUAGUACAUCUAAACAGGUGGACUAUUUUACAUAAGUCAUCAAAUGGAUCAUGACAUACUGCUGCGUAAGUUAUUUUGUCUUUUUUAUUUUCCCUUUUUUAUUAUCUUUAAUUAUAUUUGCCUCUAUAACCAAUGCAAGCAUUGCCGGUUGGGUUGCUUUCCCAUCUAUAUCUUUAUACACAUAUAUAGCAAAACACCACGAGCCGUUUUGUCUCUUCUUAUGGGCUCAUUUGGCUGCACACAAAUUGAUCCGAAUCCACGUAGUUUGGGAGGGAUUGAGGUGGAAGUUAGUUUAAAUUCCACCUCAAUCCCAUUCAAACCGGGUGUAUUUGUGUGCAGCCAAACAAAACCUAAGGUAUUCACAUCAUUCUCCACUAACUGACCUCACUAGAUGUUCUAUUUCUUCAUGCAAUGUAUCGACAUCAUUCCCAACUAUAUGUCCCAGUAACUAGCAUUCCUUUUAUGCAAGCUUUCUAUCUCUUUACCUGGAGAUCAUGUACGCCGAUGCACAGACGACAUAGGAAGGGACCCUGCCCUCCCGUUGGCCCCAUCGAACCUCCAACGGUGCUGCGGCACGCAAGCUAGCCGCGCGAACGCCGCCCUCCUCGCUGUCCUCACGGCGGCCACGCCGAUGUGUACAUCGUCAGCUGGAAGAGGACCUCUUUGUGCACAAGCUGGAGAGUGGCUGCUACUAGCCUACUACAUCGUCGGCAUGCUCGUUGAGAAGUUCCACAAGUUGCUUGUCGAGUAGAGUAAUGGAUCUUGGACAGCAUGGCCUCAUUGCGCAUGAAUGCACGAUGUCGCUGAGUGGUCGGAACUCUAGUGGAUGGCGUACAAUCUUCCGGAGCGUAGCCUCAUUUCUCUCCUUGACGAACGGCGCGUGCCACGAACCGCAUGUCGUAGUGGCCGGGAACUUGCAUGAAGGAGCUGGACCGUGCGUCCACAGACUCCGCCACGAACUCCGGCUGUGUCGUAGCCUGCACCAGAGCCAAAGUAGGCGAGAAUCUGCAGCUCUGUUACGACCCACACGGUCCCGGCAUAUCCUCCUCAUGAUUGUCAACGUUCAUUGCAUCCUCAGCAAUACCAUGAAUUCCAGCGGCUUAUUAUUAACACAACGCAUCAUAAUUUGUUGCAAUAUUUACACUUACUUGCAACCACAAUUAUAUUUAUCAUGGCCCUAACAGCUACCUCUCCCAACAGAUCUACAACUGACAUGUACAACUCAGUAGUUUAGAUGUAUUAAGAGCCACGUAUAGCAAUAACUUAUAGUCCAUGUUACAAUAGAUCCUCCUAUUCCGAUUAAAUUUGUGGUGCUGAGAAAACAAGUGUUUGGAUUAUUAGGGUAAAACUUUUGUUGUGAUUGAAUAAUUUGUGUUAAAUAAAAGAUCACAAGUACAAAUUCAAUUUUCAUGACAUUUUGGACUUGCUAAAGAAGAUAAAAAAGCCUCACUGAUUUUGACACAAACAUGUAAUGAAACUUUAGAAAAAUCAUAUAUACACAGCUGCCUUGACAAUGGUUGACUAGAUAUCUUGUGCCAUAUAAAAAUAAUAUCGUCAAUUGUGUGUAUACAUAGCUCCACAACAAUAUGCAGGAGGAGAACCUAGUAUACUUUAUUUUGCGGUAGAUUACCACAAAAUAACCACAGUAAAUGAAUUACUGGCCUGCUUAUUUAUAUCCUCAAUCUAUAUUACAAAUUAUAUAAUGGUCAAAUAAAUUCACUCAAUGCAAGACCAGAUGUGCCGAUUACUCAAAACGGGAUAUUGGUGUUGAUAACUGCGCCAGGCUUCAAUCCAACAGGGAAAAUCUCAUCCCUGUUGCGGUAGCCGCCACCCUUCACAGCAAAGCGGACGGAGAGGGGUCCCUUGAGCGGUGCCUUGCUGUCUUGUGUAAAGGUCUUGGCUGGUGACUCCUUCAUGUCGUCCAAAAAUUCCGCGGCGCCCUUUUCUCUGAUGGCCAGCUCAUGGAUGGGGAGGUUGGCGACAAGGACUAGGUGGGUAUAUGUAGGGGUAGUGCCCUUGCCGACCGUCAAGGUCACUGUGUUGCCGCACAAUCCAACUGCAAACAAUGCAGCCAGCGCGACGAGGAUGCCAUUGGUGACCUAACAACUUAGUAGGAGUAACUGAUCCUGUUUCCUAUGGAUCGAGAGAGCGGGAGAGAGGGAUAUGUGUGGUGAUUGUUGUUGCGGAUUGCAGCAGCUGGCUGCGUAUUUAUUGGCGGCGCUUAACCUAACAAUCCUAAGCUGCUCCCC
rnacentral:lncRNA from 1 species